rnacentral:rRNA from 1 species
GACGAACGCUGGCGGCGUGCCUAAUACAUGCAAGUUGAGCGCUGAAGGUUGGUACUUGUACCAACUGGAUGAGCAGCGAACGGGUGAGUAACGCGUGGGGAAUCUGCCUUUGAGCGGGGGACAACAUUUGGAAACGAAUGCUAAUACCGCAUAAAAACUUUAAACACAAGUUUUAAGUUUGAAAGAUGCAAUUGCAUCACUCAAAGAUGAUCCCGCGUUGUAUUAGCUAGUUGGUGAGGUAAAGGCUCACCAAGGCGAUGAUACAUAGCCGACCUGAGAGGGUGAUCGGCCACAUUGGGACUGAGACACGGCCCAAACUCCUACGGGAGGCAGCAGUAGGGAAUCUUCGGCAAUGGACGAAAGUCUGACCGAGCAACGCCGCGUGAGUGAAGAAGGUUUUCGGAUCGUAAAACUCUGUUGGUAGAGAAGAACGUUGGUGAGAGUGAAAGCUCAUCAAGUGACGGUAACUACCCAGAAAGGGACGGCUAACUACGUG